rnacentral:rRNA from 1 species
AGGACGAACGCUGGCGGCGUUGCUUAACACAUGCAAGUCGAACGGGGCGAAGUGAUAGCUUGCUAUUAUGGAGCCUAGUGGCAAACGGGUGAGUAACGCGUAGGCAACCUGCCCUUCAGAUGGGGACAACACCUCGAAAGGGGUGCUAAUACCGCAUGAGACCACAGAGCUGCAUGGCUUAGGGGUCAAAGAUUUAUCGGUAGAGGGUGGGCUCGCGUCUGAUUAGGUAGUUGGGUGAGGUAAACGGGCCCCACCAAGCCGACGAUCAGUAGCCGACCUGAGAGGGUGAUCGGCCACAUUGGGACUGAGACACGGCCCAAACUCCUACGGGAGGCAGCAGUGGGGAAUAUUGGGCAAUGGGGGAAACCCUGACCCAGCAACGCCGCGUGGAGGAAGAAGGUUUUCGGAUCGUAAACUCCUGUCCUCAGGGAAGAGCAGAAGACGGUACCUGAGGAGGAAGCCCCGGCUAACUACGUG